rnacentral:rRNA from 1 species
GACGAACGCUGGCGGCGUGCUUAACACAUGCAAGUCGAACGGAAAGGCCCUGCUCUUGUGGGGUGCUCGAUUGGCGAACGGGUGAGUAACACGUGAGUAACCUGCCCUUGACUUUGUGAUAACUUCAGGAAACUGGGGCUAAUACCGGAUAGGAUCUCCUGCUGCAUGGUGGGGGUUGGAAAGAUUCGGCGGUUGGGGAUGGACUCGCGGCUUAUCAGCUUGUUGGUGGGGUAGUGGCUUACAAAGGCUUUGAAGGGUAGCCGGCCUGAGAGGGUGACCGGCGACAUUGGGCCUAAGAGACGGCCCAGACGCCUACGGGAGGCAGCAGUGGAGAAUCUUGCACAGUGGGCGGAAGCCUGAUGCAGCAACGCCGCGUGCGGGAUGACGGCCUUCGGGUUGUAAACCGAUUUCGCCUGUGACGAAGCGGGAGUGACGGUAAUGGGUAAAGAAGCACCGGCUAACUACGUG